rnacentral:rRNA from 1 species
UACAGAGGUCUCGAGCGUUAGGCGGAAUCACUGGGCUUAAAGCGUGUGUAGGCGGAUCGUUAAGUGCCUUGUGAAAUCCCACGGCUUAACCGUGGAACUGCUUGGCAUACUGGCGGUCUUGAGCAACCUAGGGGCGAGCGGAACAAAUGGUGGAGCGGUGAAAUGCGUAGAUAUCAAUUUGGAACGCCAAUGGUGAAAACAGCUCGC